GACGAACGCUGGCGGCGUGCUUAACACAUGCAAGUCGAACGGAAAGGCUCCAGCUUGCUGGAGUGCUCGAGUGGCGAACGGGUGAGUAACACGUGGGCAAUCUGCCCUGCACUCUGGGAUAAGCCUGGGAAACUGGGUCUAAUACCGGAUAGGACCUUUCUCCUCAUGGGGUUUGGUGGAAAGUUUUGCGGUGCAGGAUGAGCCCGCGGCCUAUCAGCUUGUUGGUGGGGUAAUGGCCUACCAAGGCGACGACGGGUAGCCGGCCUGAGAGGGUGAUCGGCCACAUUGGGACUGAGAUACGGCCCAGACUCCUACGGGAGGCAGCAGUGGGGAAUAUUGCACAAUGGGCGAAAGCCUGAUGCAGCGACGCCGCGUUAGGGAUGACGGCCUUCGGGUUGUAAACCUCUUUCAGUAGGGACGAAGCGCAAGUGACGGUACCUGCAGAAGAAGCACCGGCUAACUACGUG
rnacentral:rRNA from 1 species